AUACUCAGGUUUGUUUUGAGAUCAUAUAAAUCUUUAGCCUUUUCCUAAAGAUUUUGGUGGAGAGGAACAAUUCUGAGUUUUUAGGCAAUGUUUUUCAGUCUUGCUUUUGCAGGGCA
ensembl:snRNA U5 U5 spliceosomal RNA